rnacentral:rRNA from 1 species
UACGUAGGGGGCAAGCGUUGUCCGGAAUCAUUGGGCGUAAAGAGCGUGUAGGCGGCCAGAUAAGUCCGCUGUGAAAUCUCGAGGCUCAACUUCGAGCUGUCGGUGGAAACUGUCUGGCUAGAGUCCGGAAGAGGAGAAUGGAAUUCCUGGUGUAGCGGUGAAAUGCGCAGAUAUCAGGAGGAACACCGAUGGCGAAGGCAGGUCUCUGGGCUGACACUGACGCUCAUGCACGAAAGCGUGGGGAGCGAAACAAGGAUUGAUAAACCCCAGGAACGUCCAGACCCA